UACGUAGGGUGCGAGCGUUGUCCGGAAUUAUUGGGCGUAAAGAGCUCGUAGGCGGUGUGUCGCGUCGGUCGUGAAAACUUGGGGCUUAACCCUGAGCUUGCGGUCGAUACGGGCAUCACUGGAGUUCGGCAGGGGAGACUGGAAUUCCUGGUGUAGCGGUGAAAUGCGCAGAUAUCAGGAGGAACACCCGUAGCGAAGGCGGCACUCUGGGCCGGUACUGACGCUGAGGAGCGAAAGCGUGGGGAGCAAACAGG
rnacentral:rRNA from 1 species